rnacentral:sRNA from 1 species
UGGCAUGGGGUGGACCCAGAGUGUCGUUUGCUGGGAUAAUCACAACUCUCUAGCUCUCCCGAUGUUGAGGCGGAUGACUUGCUUCCACACAAACAUUCUGCUUGGGGGAAGUCUCAUCUUGCUCCAAGUCAGAUAACAAACCGACUCGAAUCUGGAUUUUGCGCGUUUCUUCGCGGUAUAUUCAAUAUAAACAGAGGUAUUUUUUGAGACACAUCGCUGCAAGACUCGCAGAUCUGAAGAGUGAGAAACUAAAUGUCUAAUCACGGUCUUGAGUUGAGUCUGCUCGAGAGCAGUUAGGAGAACAUACAUAUUCACAUACUGGUACAUAUAUAUAUACAUCAAGAGUGUGUGAUGUUGUAUGGACUACCUCCAUGCCCAUGACAAGAACUUGAGAAUGUAGAUAUCUCCUACACAGGUUUUUCAUAGUCGUCUCUAAAUGACUCCUUCUCUGCGAAAACAUGCAUGCAUGGAACACAACACAUUCAUGGCCGGCGACACCUUCCCCCCGUCUGCAAUUUAUAGAAACUGGAAAGUAGCGCGGAUGCAUACAUACAUACAUACACACA